UGUGGGAAUUAAACAGUAACCGUGCAAGAAACCAAGAAAAAUAUGAAUUCUUAAAGAGCAAGUGGAAGGAUAAGAGAGAGAGAGAGAGAGAGAGAGAGAGAGGAUAUGGUUGAAUAAACAGUAUAAAGAUUGAAUCUUUUUAAUGAUUGAUGAUCGAUUAGAGCUUAACAGAGCAAAAGCGGCUCUUGGAGUGUGAAUGGGUCAACAAAAAAUCUUCAAGAUUUUCUGAUUGCUAAAAAAAAAUUAAAAUGGCCCUAGAAUGCAAAAGGGCGUUAAAAACCAGCAAGCAGAAAAAAGUUUUUCUUUUUUUUCAAGAAUCACCCCUUCUCCCACUGCUUCAGCUUUCAGACCGUUAAAUAAAUGAAAAAAAAUUGAUGUCGGGGUUAAUUUAGUGGAAGGUUCCAGGAAAUUGUGGUGAUGGGAGUAGUUGUUGGAAUUACAUAUGAGGACAACUGAUAUGGAAACAGAGAGCAGAUGCAAAUUCCAUUUCCCAAGAAAAAAAAGCAGUAAAUGCACAGUGGUCGUACGUAAGUUUUAUGACAACAACAACCGCACUUAUCUCCAUUUUUUUUUUAUUAUUUAUUGAUUGAUAAGUAUCUGCAUUUAUUUGAUUGAAG
rnacentral:lncRNA from 1 species